CUGCGGUCGGCUCAGUGGUAGAGUGUUUGCCUAGCAUGUGUAAGGCACUGGGUUUGAAUCUCAGUACCUCAUA
rnacentral:tRNA from 1 species